rnacentral:rRNA from 1 species
UACGGAGGAUGCAAGCGUUAUCCGGAAUGAUUGGGCGUAAAGCGUCCGCAGGUGGCGAUGUAAGUCUGCUGUUAAAGAGUGAGGCUCAACCUCAUAAGAGCAGUGGAAACUACAUAGCUAGAGUACGUUCGGGGCAGAGGGAAUUCCUGGUGUAGCGGUGAAAUGCGUAGAGAUCAGGAAGAACACCAGUGGCGAAGGCGGCAUCCUGGACCGACACUGACGCUGAGGAGCGAAAGCCAGGGGAGCAAACGGG